AAAGUUAGAGGUUCGAAGGCGAUCAGAUACCGCCCUAGUUCUAACCAUAAACGAUGCCAGCCAGCGAUCCGGCUGUGUUCCUCAAAUGACACGCCGGGCAGCUUCCGGGAAACCAAAGCUUUUGGGUUCCGGGGGAAGUAUGGUUGCAAAGCUGAAACUUAAAGGAAUUGACGGAAGGGCACUACAAGGAGUGGAGCCUGCGGCUUAAUUUGACUCAACACGGGACAACUCACCCGGCCCGAACACAGGAAGGAUUGACAGAUUAAGAGCUCUUUCUUGAUUCUGCGGGUGGUGGUGCAUGGCCGUUCUUAGUUGGUGGAGCGAUUUGUCUGGUUUAUUCCGAUAACGAGCGAGACUCUAGCCUACUAAAUAGACGCUCCGAUCUCUCCGGUCGGACGUUCUUCUUAGAGGGACAAGCGGCGUUUAGCCGCACGAGACAGAGCAAUAACAGGUCUGUAAUGCCCUUAGAUGUUCGGGGCCGCACGCGCGCUACAUUGAAGGAAUCAGCGUGUGCUUUCCCGGCCCGACAGGGCUGGGUAACCCGUUGAACCUCCUUCGUGCUGGGGAUAGGGGCUUGUAAUUCUUCCCCUUGAACGAGGAACUCCUAGUAAGCAUGAGUCAUUAGCUCGUGUUGAUUAAGUCCCUGCCCUUUGUACACACCGCCCGUCGCUACUACCGAUUGAAUGAUUUAGUGAGGUCUUCGGACUGGCGCACGGAGAGGCCUCCGGGUCUCGCCGCCGUGCCGGAAAGAUGACCAAACUUGAUCAUU
rnacentral:rRNA from 1 species